rnacentral:rRNA from 1 species
GAUGAACGCUAGCGGCAGGCUUAACACAUGCAAGUCGAGGGGUAUUGGUUUUCGGGACCAAGAGACCGGGCACACGGGUGCGUAACGCGUAUGCAAUCUACCUUUGCAGAGGGAGUAGCCCCAGAGAAAUUUGGAUUAAUACCUCAUAGUAUAGUACUUUGGCAUCGAAGGAACUAUUAAAGUCACAACGGCAAAGAUGAGCAUGCGUCCAUUAGCUAGUUGGUAAGGUAACGGCUUACCAAGGCUACGAUGGGUAGGGGUCCUGAGAGGGAGAUCCCCCA